rnacentral:sRNA from 1 species
GUGGUUCACCCAAUACCAAAUCUGCGCUCCCGACGAUUCCUAUCAGAAUAGCGCAGGUUUCCAGUUUCCCUGGUGUUGGCGCAGUAUUCGCGCACCCCGGCCUCGGU